ensembl:lncRNA
GCUGGGGAGGGAGCUAGGGGGUGGGGGAGGUGGGCAUCACGGGAAGCCCUCUGGAGGGGUGGCCCUUCAGCUAAGGUGGACUCGGUCGCCCCCAGAGUUGGGGUGGGGGAAGCUGAGGGAAGGCAGGGUGGGAUGCUCACAUGCAGAGCCCGAGGGUAGGAACAGGCUUGUUAGCUGGCAGGAGGCUGGAGGAAGGAGGGAGGAGCCCUGGGGGCUGGCCGAGGCCAGGCCACGCAGAGUCUUGCAGGCCCAGAGACAACCUUGGCUAUUCUUGGGGCUGCCAUGGGAGCACCUGCAGGGCUUUGAGCCGGGGACCGGUGGGACCGGUGGGACCGGGCAGAGGGAAACACGAGAGCAGCUGGCAGGCUGGGGUGGCUGCUCAGCCAGAGCCGCAGCGCCCCAGGUCAGGAUGUUGGCGGUUUAAGUGGAGAACUGAUGGGUUCUUGGUCCAUUCUGGAGCUGGCAUGAAUGUGACUUGGAGGUGGGUUAAACUGGAGAAGGAACAGCGGGGUCUGCUAAAUGUGAAACAACUGAGACCCCCCCCCCCGAAAGAGAAGCCCUGAUCUGUAGCAUCUGCCAGGUCCUGCGGUGCAAAUAUGCCCAGCACAGCUGGUUUCAAGCUACCCGCUUGCCGUGCAGAGUUGGGAAGAGAUGUGCACAACUGGAUCUCAAAACAUGAGCCGACUCCAGCCACCACCGGGGUGAGCGAGGAGGAGUCAAGAACGCCAGCCGUUUCUCUCAUUUCAGCGAGCGAUGGAGGACGGAGCAUCUACCAGGUGGAGGCGAUGGAGCCGGAAGAGGCUGGGACUCGCACCGUCUGCAUACACCACAGCUGGUUCACCCGUUUCCUGGACAUUUGUCUGUUUCCAGCUUUUUGCUGCCACUGUUCCUGUGUGAGCCUUUGUUUGCGUUUUUUGGGGCCUGGACCAGCGUCUCUGGCCCACAUCUGCCCGCCGCCUCUGAGCCGCCUUUGCCGGGGCUUCUUGGGGCACACCAGGUCUGCAUCGUGGUGGAGAUGCCGUCCAGACAGGGCAGGAAGAGGAGCUUUUUCUCCCAGCUGCAUCCUUGCAGCCGGCAGGAUGUCUCACAUGCAGGGAGCCUUGGUCAACAUGCAGCAGAGGAACCGACGAGGCCGAGUCUGGGUGGACACACGUGGAGGUGUAACUUCCAUGGGGUACAGCACACACAUCCUAAGUGUGCAGCUUGAUGAGUUUUUGUAGGUGCACACGCCCGUGUGGACACCACCCAGGUCAAAACGUGGACAUGCGCAGCUCUCCGUCUGAUUUCUGUUCCCAUAGAUUGGUGUUGCCUGUUCUUGGAUGGACACAAAGGAAUCGCACAGAAUGUUCUCUCUCGUGUCUGCCUUCUCUUGCUCAGUCCAGACCCCUGCACCUGAGUCUCUCUGCCUGGAGGGCUGGCACCUUGGGCAGCCCCAGGCCAUCAGUUCCUUCUCUCUCCCAAGAUUUCUCUUCCCACUUCUCGUUUCCAUCCUCAGCCUCUUCCUUGUAUUAUCAGCAAGUCAUCCUUGAAUUCAGGGACCCUGUGCCACUGCCCGGCCCCGUCCCGCUCACCGAGGGUCCCCGAGUGCUCUGUCCAGCCCUCCCUGUCUUGCCACAUCCUUUCUUUGCAAACCACCUGGCCUUUGAGUCACUGCAAAGUCUGGCCCACAUGUGUCACCUCGGUCCACCUGGCACCCCCUGGGCUUGUUGGUGAUAACACAGCAAGACACUUUAUAUCUGUCAGGGGGUCUUACAGGUCAGCCCAGUCCGUGCUGUGAAUUCUCAAAGUGGGGUCCCCAGACCCGCAGCGUCGGCACCGCCUGGGAACUUAGAAGAGCAGGCUCUCGGGCGCCCAUCCCACCGCCCAGGAACAACGCGCUGCGUCUUUCCUUUCCUCUCCCAUUCACGGUGCUUCUGACCCCAGAGCGGGUGGUGUUCCCACACCCACCAAUUCUACACACCAGCCAGGGUCCUCCACUUCGAUUUGACUCUGACACCAUCCAGAGAUGGUGUAGACCCUACGAUUAAGAGCCCUGUCCCACAAGACUUCCCGCUCCCCCCUCAUUUCAGAUGCCAGUCGCACGUAGUGGGGCCCCAGGCCACCGGCACUUCUGUCCCACUUGGCUACAAAUCAGAGGUCCCCACGGCCCCCUCCUUAGGCUUGCUGACUCGUAGAGCAGCUCACAGACCCAGGAAAGCAGUUUCUUACUAUUGCUGAUUUAUGACGAAGGCUAUUUUAACGGAUACAGGUGAACAGCCAGAUGAAGAGACACACAGGUGAGGUCUGGAAGGGUCCGGGGCACAGGAGCUUCUGUCCUCGGGGAGCUGGGGUGCGUCACGCUGCUGGCAUGUGGAUGUGCUCCCCAGCCUGGCAGCUCUGCAGACCCCAUCCUGGAGGGGUUUUUACGGAGGCUUCCUCAUGUAGGCAUGAUCGAUUAUUAACUCAGUCUCCAACCCCUCUCCCCUCCCCGGAGGAAGAAAACUCCACACUUCUAAUCACACUCUAUCUGGUGACCAGUCCCCAUCAUCCUGAAGCUGGCCGGGAGCCCAGCCAGAGUCACCUCAUUGGAGCAAAAGAUGCUCCUCUCACCCAGGAUGUUGUAAGAGAACUGGGAGCUCCGUGUCAGGAACUGGGGUCAAAGAUCAACUGUUUGAAUUAAAGAUGCUCCUAGCACCUUUACUGUUUAGGAAAUUACGUAGGUUUUAGGAGCUCUGGUCAGGAGACGGGGAUGCCCACCAAAAUGUGUAUUUCUUAUUAUAUCACAAUGUCAAACUCACUGAGUCAGAAGCUCGGGGGUGGGGCUGGGCCAUCUGUGUUCCCACAAACCCUCCAGUGGUUCUGAGGUAGCUCAGGGGUGAGGACCGCCUGGCAUGUGAGUGUGUCGGCGAUGAACCGAUCGAAAUGGGAACAUCACUUUCUCUGACUGGAAGUAUGCUGUCAUCAUCAAACGUGCCAAGGGGCUGGGGUGUGGGCUGACGUGGUCUGCUGCGUAAUCACAGUGCCAACCGGAGCCUCCUAGGCACACCGGCCUGUUCCCAGCCGGCCGCCCUGCUCAGUGCUGGAACACCUGGAAAUUGGAAAAAGUUCAGAAAAGAGGAAUGCAAAUGGCGAGAAGACUCAAGAUGGGGUCUUGAGGGGAUCACGCUGGGCCUGGAAGACCUCACAGACAGAUCGGCAUUCCUCAGAGCAGAGGAAACAGGUUCAGGGCGCGUCAUUUGCCACAUUCACCCUCAGCUCUUUUGAUUUGGGGCUGAUCCUUGAAGCCACUCUGGUUUCUCUGUCUUACUGCUCAGGAGCUCCCAGGAGAGACUCACCGAGGGUGGGACUUGUGGGUGGGAAGUGGGGAGAACCGAGGCUGAGAGGGGCCCUGGCGGGGAGCAAGGGGUGAUUCA